ensembl:lncRNA
CUUUGCCUGGGAAGUCUUGGCCCCUAAGGGAAGCCGUCCAAUGAACGUAAACGCGCAGCACGUCUAUCCUGUGACAGAGUCGCUGCGGAACCACUUCCGGAUCCUAGAGCGCGUUUAUUCCGUGACCAAGGGAAACAGUAGCCAUAGCAACGCAGUUUCUACUUUUUUUUUUCCCCCUUGUCUGUGCCUGGGGUUACGUUGAGAGCCAUCCCAAGGCGAAGUUUGCAGUCUCCCUUCUAUUUGGUGGUGUACCUCUGAAAAAAAGACUUGACGGUUUGAGACUCCCUCCCAGUGCUUUUUUUUUGGGGGGGGGGGUUGAGAAACUACAGUUCCCGGCAUGUAACGCACGAGUAGAGAUCUGUGCUUAUUCCUGCAUUCCCCGGUCUGCACGGCUUUCAGGAGCGGGCCUAGAAAGCCUCCGCGCCUCAGCCAGGGCCACCCGUUGUGCCGGAUGCCAGCCGUUCAGAGUCUGGGCCUCUGGUCCGAACGCGCGUUUCCGAAUCUGGCUUCUCGUGCGUCACUCAGGCCGCCCGGACCCUUCGCCUCUGCGUAUUCCCUGGCCGGAAUCCCACUGAUGUGGUUUGCAGAAGGAACUGGUGGGGUUCCCCAUCCCCGAGGGAGAUCGCACACCACUUUGAUGCCUUUGACUCCCGUGAAGCCCAAAGCGGGGCGCCUGGCCGACCUGGACCCGCUGCUGCGAAUCAGGCGGGGAGCGGCGGCCAAGAGCGGUCCAGCACGGAAAGAGAAGGACGCACCUGUGGACAUUUCAGAGCUACACCGGGGUCCUGCAAAUGAGAUCCGGAUCGCAGCUUUGUAACUUAGUAGAAAUGCCUUGCUGGCCUUAGGCAAGGCGCCUAGCACGUUAGGUGGCUUUCCUGUGAGGGAGGGCAGUCCUCCACACAAGCGCGCGCCUUUGACGUAGCUUCUAGUCUCUCACUUAGUUUUCACGAACUCCCCACCACACACAGGUCUCUGACAUGCACACCAUCUUUGUUACUGAUUUCUCCAGCGAAAUGGAGCUUUUCCUUUGCUCUCAGAUAAUUAUCAGAAUUCCUGAAGAUAAGCUUUUCAGUGACAAUCUGUCACAGUCUUUUACAACUUCCCCUAUUUGAGUCUGCCUGAUCUUGAUUCUGUGGUUGGUGUUUACAUAUUGUGGGGAGCCUUAUUUAGAUCUGCCUGAUUUACCGAAACUUGUUAUUAGUAAGCAAACUUACAAAGCAAGUUUUAUACUUCUGUGCUUACAUAAAACAAUAGAGUAUAUUAGGGUGUUACAUUCGGAAAUCUCAAUGACGUCUUUGUUUUGACUUUUUUUUUUUGAGAAAGGUGAGUUCCUUCACUUUUCUUCGGUUGAUAUCUCCACUUCUUCACCAUUUCUAUAUUAAAAACAGAUAAGCAAGCUGUUCUCAAAGUGCAAAUGCCAUCUUAGCUGGUCAGGCUAGGUGGUUUGUCCUGCACCUGGAGGGAACUGAGAAUGAGAUUUGCCCUCCAAAAUAGACCUGCUGCUUGUGGGGAGAGGUUUCUGCAGAUUACAGUGGGAACUGGAAAAUUAGGCAGAGCACAAAAUGCUGGGCUGGCAAAGAUGGGUGGCCACUGUCUGCCUCAGCUCUGCCCCUUUAGUAAGACAAGAUCCGUGGCAGAGCACCUAAAAGUGGGCAGUUUAUCGGGUUCCUACUCUUGUGGUUUCUUCCCGUGUUCUUAUCACCUCUUCCAGCUUUUGAUCUGUCACUGUUUUCCCUGGAACAGAGUCCAGAUGGUUAGUAAGCUCUCUACCUCGGGAUCGGAUUCUCUUGCUUCCUAAUUUUAGUCUUUGACACCAUGAUCACAGGGCCACUGCUGGAAAUGGUACCUUGUUGCUAUGCGCUUCUUGAGCAUAUCGAAUGCAACUAGAUAGAGCUUUCCCUUGCAGUUAAACUUGGAAGGAAAAGUCAGAUAGGCAGAGAGAUAGUUAGGGGCCAUGAGUCACUGUUUUGAUAGGGAGGUGUAGUGGGGAAGGAUGAUUUGGACCAGGGACACCAAGGCAGGUAGGCCUCAGGGAACACUAAGGAAUGGGAUGAACACUGAGGAGAAUUGCUUGGUUGAUUGGUUCCUUCAUUCACUGUUCAGAAAAUGUUGAGGCCCUAGUAUGCUGCAUGUAUUACGCUGGGGGCUGGAAAUACAAAGACCAACAGCACACAGUAGACACGGUCUCUGUUCUUACAGAAGUUGAGCAAGUAUUAACAGUGGAGUUGCCCCUUCAGUGUGAAUGUUCUAUUUAAACUGAAGUAAAGAUAUAAGGAGCAUGCCAGGGAAGUUUUUGAGCUGUUGAAAAUACUCUUGAGCUUGAGAUUGAUUGUCAUUAAACUCUGUAUGUGUAAUAAGGGUGAAUUUUUAAAUAUAGAAAUCAGACCUCAGCUGAGGAAAAAUAACAGCAACUGUCCUUCUAGACAAGACCCCAAAAAUCAUUUCAGUAAGAAUCAGGAACCAGACAGAUAUCCCUGCUAUCAUCAGUAUGGUCUCCCACUCUUUAGGAGAGUCUAACAGUAAGAAAAGCAAUUGGCAUACAUUUUAGAAAAAAAGUCAAAAUCCUUUAUUUUGAAAUUCCGCCUUAUUGGUGACAUGAUUACAUAUCCCAGAAAUCCAAGAGACUCUAGUUUAGAAAAAUAUACAGAAUGAAUAGGCGAAUCUGGAAAAUUAUUGAAUUUAAGAUAAACCUAUAAAUCUGGGCAGGGUAGUGCAUGCCUGCAAUCCCAGCUACUGGGGAGAUCAGCAGAGUUGGAGCCCAGCCUAGCAUGACCCUGUCUCAAAAUUAAACAAAAAAUAGAGCUGGGGAUGCAGCUCAGUGUUCCCUAGGUUCAAUCCCCAGUACUGGUUUAAAAAAAACAAAAAAAAAACCUUAAAUCUAUAAAAAUCAAUAAUCUUGGGCAGGGGAUUUAGCUCAGUGGUUCUGCCAACUGCCUCACAAGCACAAGGACCCAAGUUUAAUCCCUGGCACCAAAAAAAUAAAAUAAUAAUAAUAAUUAUCUUGCUCUAGCCUUGCAAAAUAACACAUAGCAAUGUCAGUCUUUCAAAAUUUCACCCAGCGGCAAACCCCAUAAGACGUAGGAAUAAACUGAAAAGCAUACAGCGCCAACACGAGGAAAGUCAUGGGGAUUGGAGUACAGUAUGUAAAGCAGUGAACCCGGGUCACUUUCUGGGCCCUGUGUAACAGUCACCCUAAAACCAUCUGAGAUCAGGAAUCCAGGAGCACUGUGCUGGGUAGUCUUGGCUCAGAGUUGCUCCUGAGCCUGCUGUCCAGAUGUUGGCUGAGGCUGAAGUCCCCAGGAGCCUCGGCCUGUGUCAGGCCACUCAGCCAGCCGUGGCCAGAGACCUCCCAUGGCUUGUGGCCCUCCCCAGGGGCUGCCGGCUCCCUCUGCUCUGAGCAAUGGGAGGCAGAGAACAAGGCAGGAGCCACAGUGACUCAGCCAAGCUGAACUCACCCAGCAUCACGGGGCAGGGACAGAGGGUCCAUAAGGGUGUGAAUGCCAGCGGCAGGUGGAACUCACUGGGGUCAGUUUGGAAGCCGCUGUCACCACAACUGGUUUUGGGAGAAACUAGGAAAAGUUUGACAUGGUAUUUUCAGUGUUCUCCAGGGAGGUGGGCUCAGCAUCAUAAAAUGAGAAUAAAGGAUUCAGUUGCACUACAAUCAGAAAGGAUAAAAGAUCACCAAGCAGUUGAAUGUGCCAGCAGUUCAGUGCAACAAGAGAAUCCCAAAAUACAUUGUUUCAGUGUAAUACAGAGUGAAAGUGAUGUUUCAGUUGGAGGAGAAUUGAGCUUAUUUGCUAAAUGUUGCUAGCCUCGACUAGUUAUCCAAGUUAAGCAAAAUGAAGUUGAAUUCCUAUUUUAUACCAUAUGAAAAUAAAUUCCAACUUAGAAAAAAAGAUAUGGCUGGGAGAGACUUUCUUAACCAAGACUCAACAACCGAGAAAUCUAACAGGAAGCUUAGAGUAUUUACCCGGCCUGUUCCUCCCUUUGGGGGAGCCUGGAACUCCAAUUUUUUUCUAGUUCUAGCAUUGUGAAAUCGGAGUUUUGCCCAACUAAAAAUAUUGGUUUUGGGUAGUAUAAGAAUCAGCAAAUGCUUCAAGGGGAAAAGCAACGGAGAAUAGAGGGCUCACUUCUCCACCCUUUCCCCCUCUCUGGAGUUUUGUCCCCUCAAAUCCUGGCUGCCUUUGUGGCUAUGUGAUGCCUAUUUGAUGCUAUGUGCGGUAAUCCUGGCAGGACAAUGGGGUCGGCUUCAAAUUGUCCAUCACAGCAGAGUAAUGGAAGUAGAUGUCACUCUUCACCGUAGAUGUAGAAGUCCUUGAUCCCACUGUAUUACCCCCACUACCAUCAGCAAAGAUGACAACCAUGAUUAUUUUCUCAUAUUAACCUUUUGGUUUUUCACCAAGCAGUUUGCAUGAUGUUCAGUGUUUCCAGACCACGGGACUUGUAUGCUUUGGGGCUAGAAGCAAUAAAUGUGUCUCCGAUAUUAGUUGUCAUUUUAAAGUUAUAUCCUUGUUUUGACUCCUCUUAACUGCAAUUGUGAGUUAUCCUCCCUCUCCUACCUUAGUUCCUUCCAUAUUCCCCUGCUUGGGAAUUGAUUUUGGAUGUAUAAAAUGUUACCAAAUCUGCUAAUGAAAUUUGGGAGUGUUUUUUUGACUCUCUUACCUGCAGUCAGAAGUUUCCAAACUGUCGUAAAUUUACC